GAUGAACGCUAGCUACAGGCUUAACACAUGCAAGUCGAGGGGCAGCAUUAACUUAGCUUGCUAAGUUUGAUGGCGACCGGCGCACGGGUGAGUAACACGUAUCCAACCUGCCGAUGACUCGGGGAUAGCCUUUCGAAAGAAAGAUUAAUACCCGAUGGCAUAGUUCUUCCGCAUGGUAGAACUAUUAAAGAAUUUCGGUCAUCGAUGGGGAUGCGUUCCAUUAGGUUGUUGGCGGGGUAACGGCCCACCAAGCCUUCGAUGGAUAGGGGUUCUGAGAGGAAGGUCCCCCACAUUGGAACUGAGACACGGUCCAAACUCCUACGGGAGGCAGCAGUGAGGAAUAUUGGUCAAUGGACGAGAGUCUGAACCAGCCAAGUAGCGUGAAGGAUGACUGCCCUAUGGGUUGUAAACUUCUUUUAUACGGGAAUAAAGUGAGGCACGUGUGCCUUUUUGUAUGUACCGUAUGAAUAAGGAUCGGCUAACUCCGUG
rnacentral:rRNA from 1 species